CGAUGCACCACGGGAUCGAGUUACUUGAAUGUGGUCUCUUCAUACUUCUAUUUUCGGCUUUGGGCGGUGGUACCACGAUCACGAAGCGGUUCAGCAAUGGGGAUUGAGAUGGUGCCAAAAACGCUCUCCAAGACCAUCCCGAACAAAUUCAUCAGAUCGUUUUCAGCAACCCAGAUGAGGAAAUGGUGCUCAGAGGGGCAUGUUUCCAAAUGGUCACCAUGAAAUUUCCAGCGAAGUUAUUAGCAAACUGCAGGCUGUUGGGAAAGAGUUUUUUGAUUUGAUGCAAGAGGAGAAGGAAGUUCACACCAAGCUUUCUGGUUCCAAGUCUUUCGAAGGCUAUGGAUCUAAGCUCCAGAAGGAAGUGAGUGGAAAGAAAGGCUGGGUUGAUCAUUUGUUUCAUAAGAUUUGGCCUCCUUCAGCCUUUAACUACCAAUUUUGGUCUAAGCCCCCAUGCUCCUUAUAGGCUAUGUUUUUGAAAUUGUUGCGACAGAUAUUGAGCAAUGGGAAGUUUAAGAGGCCAUGUUUUUUCAAUUAUUUCCUUUCCAUUUUGUCUGUUGUUAAUUUCUUUAUCUAUGCAUUUUUUUCUCAUCCAUUUAUCUCUCUACAUGGAAACAGUUUGAAGGGUUGAUUUACUCAGACAAUUUCUAGAUUUAUCUUCAACUCCUGAUGCAUAUUCUCGUCUUGGUUGCCAAGGUGGCAGUAACAAAAAGAACCUGAUUUGCUGAUGGAAUCAAAGUGUGACAUGAUUAAAUGAAGUUAGACUUUUAUUAAAACUUAGCACAUUGUUGUGUUAAUUUAGGAGUCAUAGCACGUCGUUGUUGUUAAUUUAAGGGGUUGAUUAUGGAAUUUCUUAAUGUUUAAUUAAUCUGUCAAGUUGGGGAUUAGGAAAAUAGAACAUGUUUUGGAUGCCAAGUCUUACUUUAAUCUUCCUUUGUAGAAGAAUAUUGUUAAGAUUGGGGAUUUAUGUUUCUUUGUAUAUCUCCAAUUCCAAUGGUGCUUCCACCAUAACGUGCGUUUUAGGUUUCUCUAUUGGAUUUGGAUUUAUAAAUUAAACGCAUCGAGA